GACGAACGCUGGCGGCGUGCCUAACACAUGCAAGUCGAACGAAGCUUGAAGAUUGAUUCUUCGGAUGAAAUCUGAUAUGACUGAGUGGCGGACGGGUGAGUAACGCGUGAGCAACCUGCCCUUCGGAGGGGGAUAGUGUCUGGAAACGGACAGUAAUACCGCAUAACGUAUUUUUACCGCAUGACUAGAAAUACCAAAACUGAGGUGCCGAAGGAUGGGCUCGCGUUGGAUUAGAUAGUUGGUGAGGUAACGGCCCACCAAGGCGACGAUCAGUAGCCGGACUGAGAGGUUGACCGGCCACAUUGGGACUGAGAUACGGCCCAG
rnacentral:rRNA from 1 species